rnacentral:rRNA from 1 species
UACGUAGGUGACAAGCGUUGUCCGGAUUUACUGGGCGUAAAGAGCGCGUAGGCGGUCGAUCAAGUCGAGUGUGAAAGCCCCCGGCUCAACUGGGGAGGGUCAUUCGAUACUGAUCGACUCGAAGGCAGGAGAGGGUAGUGGAAUUCCCGGUGUAGUGGUGAAAUGCGUAGAUAUCGGGAGGAACACCAGUGGCGAAGGCGACUACCUGGCCUGUUCUUGACGCUGAGGCGCGAAAGCUAGGGGGGCAAACGGG